rnacentral:lncRNA from 1 species
UCAGCAAAUUAGAGCAGACAAGCGUAAUUGGUAUCAUAGGAUCAAUCACAUAGUGGCAAUGCUGCUAGCAUGAAUCAAUUACUUGGAAAAAGUUAUCCAAAACUAUCUUCAAACAAAGUGUUCCAAUUUGAGUUGCUCAACAUCUCUUCUAUUACAUGGACCAUGGUUCACUGAUUUGAUAGGGUAGUACUAGCUGGCGAUCUGUUCGAUACAGUAUGGUUCCCUACCGUGCCAUUUCAAGGAGUACACCGGAUAUGAGUGAGGGGGAGAGGGAGAAUAAGGGAGAGAAAAAAAGACAGAGAG